rnacentral:lncRNA from 1 species
GUGCUUGGCUAAAGCUAGGUGACAGAAUUUAGAUGAUGAUUGCAAGGAAAUAUAGGCCUAAACUAACCAAAGUUGACGACAAAGAAAAUGACAAAGUAGCAAUGGAAGGUUCAGAUUAUCUCAAUAUCUUUUUGGCAUUUUCAUUAAACUUGAGAAAUAAAAUGCUAACACAAGUAAUCGUCAAACGGCUAGUGAAUUAAAAAGACCUGAUCAUAUAUAUAACUAUCUAACAUUUAGCAGGAAAAAUAAACAAGGUUGCAGGAUAGAACAUAAACGUAUUAUAUCACAGGCACACACAUAUGUAUAUAUAUCACACAUGCUUGAGUUAACACAGACUACAAAAUGAAACAACUUCACAAGGUUGGAUACACAUAUAUGGUGACAGAUAGACCACAAAUACACAGCAAGAAUACUUCAACUAGUGAGAACACACAAUCUGUGAUACAAUAUUUAUAAGUACGAAGCUGAGCAAUUGUCAGGUUGCAAGAUCUUAUCAAAUCUGAAUAUUACAGGAACUACACGUCUCCAAUUACAGAAAAUUCAGAGAAGAGAGAGGGAAAGAGAUAGCAGCGAGUAGCAGAGAGAAGGGGCAGCAAGCAGUGGGGGUUGAGAUACAGAGAAGAGAAUCAGCAAAGGGGUGUUAUCCUGAAGCAGAAGGAAGCAGCAGGCGACUUGGAGAAGAAGCAGCAGCGUGGGGAUGGAGAAGAAGAUGAGCAGCAGGGCGAGAGAGGUGCGAUGGUUGGUGGCCCACCGGCGAUGCGGUGGCGCGGUGGAGCUGAUGGCGCGGUUGAUGGUGCAGCGGCAGGUGCUGAUGGCGUGGUAGCUGGAGGCGAUGAUGGUGUUGGAGGAAGGAGGUUGGCUGGGUGGCGCGCCGCCAUGACGGCCUGGCCGUGGCGGCGGCCGGAGGUGGAGAAGGAGGCGGGGAAGAGAUGAGAUGGAGAGAUGUGCCAGGCCCCCUGGGGAAUAGAGGCAUUCUAGGGAUUUUGUUCCCCUCGAUCAGAUCUUCCGCUUUGCUCUUUGGCCCUUCUACUUCUCUUCUUUCUUCACAAGAUGAUCCCUCCAACUUCAUUGGCAUGCCCCUGGUUACUUCUUUUCUUCUCGCUCAGGUCCUUGAUGUAUUUCUUUCAUGCCCUUCUCCCUUGUCAUUAGCCAUAAAGUCAGAAUCUUGACGAUUAUAGUGCCUUUGCGCACUUUUCUGCAAAAUAAUCAAAUGACGAGUAAAUGAUCUUUUAUAUGAUUUUCAUUCAAAUAUUCAACAUUUCACAGCAAGAAUUGAUGGUCAUAUCUCAAUAAACCGCAUAUUUGAGUGCCAAAAGAUGUAUAAGAAGUGUGCUUAUCAAGUUCCCCCACACUUAAAUCUUUACUUGUCCUCAAGUAAAGGCAUAUGACACGAACUCGAUAGUGAAUAGAGAACUGACUAGAGAAUGCCAAGUGAAGUAGAUCUCUAAACAGUGCAUGCUUUGGACUUAGCUAGUGAAAAUUAAUGGUUAGGAGUGCUUCAAAGCGGUAGGAUACUAGUAGACUUGACCAUUUUAAACUUUUACAAUGAUAAAAGAAGAUCAACUAGCUCAAAUGAUGAUUGUGCCAAAGGUUCCUAAAGAGAGCAUGAUCCCGAGAACAAAAAGAACAUAAACUUGUGAUCAGAUCACUUAUUUACAAAAAUAAAGCAGUGAUAAUAUUUUAUCUAUCUCACCAAAGGAACAUACCACCGAUCCCGAGAACAUGGUAUACACCCGGCUCGACCAAUUAUUAGUUUUUUUUGUUUGUCUCCCCAAAGGAACAUACCACCGAUCCAGAGAACAUGGUAUACACCUGGUUCGACAAUUACAUUUUUAAUUAAUUACUGCCCAAGCUAACCCGAUUUCACAUGCCAUCGAUCUAGGGAACAUGACAUGCUACUGUAGGUAGUCAGACUUAUUUAUUCAUUAUUACUUAUCUUAAAUGAACAACGGAUAAGCACAAAAACAGGAAUCAUCACUUCUCCAUGUCUGGUUCACAUGCUACCGAUCCAGGGAACAUAGCAUACUAGUCCAUAGUGGUAAAGUGAUUGCUCUCAAUGGGAACACCAUAGGCACAAACUCAACAUCUAACACUUAAUGAUCUAAGUGUAUCAAGGUAAAAGCAGAAAAUGAUUAAGUUUACUAGUGCACUAGGGAUUUGAGCACUCAAAACUAAUAGCUUUCACUACUUUCAGCAGAGCAAACAGGGUGUAGAUCACUAGUUUACAAGGCAUUCAACAAUCAGUUCGCAUAUUCUCAUCAAGCACCAUAUGUCAAAGGUGAAAUUCAGUGGGACAACAUUUAAGAAAUGGCACAAGCAACCCAAAUAGCAAUUUAAUUCAGCAAGCAUCAAUGCAUGAUGAUUUCAAAAUGGGUCAUGAAACAGCUCACCGGGCUUUGAUGAUGUAGCACUCGCUCGAUCACCUCACCAACUGCAGCUCCUCUCCUUUUGCUUCUCAAUCCUCAUGCCUGCUCCAGCUUCUCUCUUCCAUAUUUGUGCCCCAUUGCUUCUCCUCUUCACCGUGCUCUGAGUCCACCAGGGUCCCAAGGAAUGUCACCUCGAACCUGGUCAACAUGAAGUGAACGGUGCAGAAGCAAAAACCUGAAAAGGCACUCAACAAAAGAGACAAUGCGAGUGGUAGGGAUAAUACCCUCCAAGUCAUCAAUCGAGUGGCCAAUUACAUAAGCAUAGCUAUAAAGCACAUGUUUAGGGUGAUAGAAAUCAGCAAGGUCAACACUAACAUGAGGAUGACAUUUAUCAUUAAGCUCAAGACUAGUAUGAGAAUGAUAUGUUUCAUUAAGCAUAGGUCUAGCACGAUGAAAGUAACUAUGAUCAUCCCUAAUGUGAGUAAUGCCACUAACAAGGUAUAUAUGAUCAUGUCCAAGCAAAUACUUUUUCAAAUCUACUUUAACAGAUGGCAUCAUGCAAUGCAAGGUAGUAGCAAACAAUUCAUAUGGACUCAUGUCAUCACGAGGAUUAGAUAAACCUGCUACAUCACGCUCUUGUGUGACAAUAGGCAAAUGAAUUUCUGGUUCUUCAAGUUCAUCUACAGCAGCUUCUUUUGCUUCUUCAAGAGUAGUAGAUGAUGAGUCUUCAACUUGAUUACUUGGUUGUUCGAGCUCUGGAUCAUCUUGUGCCUUGGCUUCGAGUACAUCUUCAAUCUGAGGUCUCUCUUCCUCUGGAUCUUCUAUGGUGCUACUACCAGCAACACUUAAUUGAGUCUGAAGUGUCCCCAUCUAUGAAUAUUCACUAACAUGAUCUGGUAGGGGUGCUGAGAUCACUACCUCGCUGUCUUUCUGAGCAAUGUUCUCCUCAUCACCAUCAUUGCUAAGUUUCAACAGUGACACCGAUGACUUCCACCAGUCAUGCAGCUCAGCAACACAUGGGAUCUUCUCAGGAUAUUGAAGUAUCAGCUCUUCUAAAUUUGACUCAACCUCUUGUAUCUCUCUCCUUGGAAUGUCUCCGACUUGCUUAAUUGUAUGUGCAGGAGUUGGAAUCUCAUCUUCACUAUUCUUCUCUGAGAUACUCUCUUUAACUGUGAUAGAGGUAACCACUGGUGGAUCUAAUGAUUUCUUCUUGACAAAUAGUCCAGAUACAGUUGUAACACAAGUGUGGGCAAUUGGUGACACGACUGAAUUCCACCAGUCAGAUAGCUGACUAACAUAAGUGAAUUUCUCCAUAUCUUGCUGUCUCAACUUAGCGUCAAUCAGAGUAGGUUCCUCAUAAACCUCUUCUUGCAACUUUGACUCAUUCUGAACAGUUUCAUUGCCAUGAGGUAUUGGAUCUGCUACUGUGGUAUCCAUCUGAUCUACAGUGGUUGCAUCAUCUUGGAAAAUAUCAUAAUCAUCAUCAAGGAUAAUUGAAGUAAGAUCAAUGUUUCUAUAUGGAGGAUCUAAUUCAGUUCUGAAAUGUUGUUGUCCCCGGAAUGAAACAUGCUGGUUUUGAAUAUUAGGCACCAUGGAUGAUUUCUGUUCACUUAUGGAACACACAGCUUCUGAUUGCACGAGGCUUGCAACCUUCGGAUUUGAACUAGGCCUUUCAUAACCCCAUUGUAUUUGGUGGAAGGCAAUGCUCUCAAUGAGAAUAAUUGCACCCUCAACGGCCUUGUUCAUGAUUGUUCCACCAGCUGACAUAUCAAUAAGAUCUCUUGAAGCAUGUGUUAGCCCUCUAUAGAAUAUCUGAAGCACUAACCAAUCCUUUUGCCCAUGAUUAGGACAUUUUCUAAGCAAAUACUUACAUCUCUCCCAAGCUGCAUACAAGCUCUCACUACCAUCUUGCGCAAAACUGAGGAUCUGGUCACGAAUUGCAGCUUGCUUGUAAAGUGGAAAAUAUCUAUGCAGGAAAGCUUGUGAAAUAUCACCCCAAGUGUAUGAUCUUGAUGGCAAAGAAUAGUACCAGUCCUUGCAGCAUCUCUGAGAGAGAAUGUGAACAACAUACACUUGAUAGCAUCUUGGGAAACGCCAUGAUACUGGACUGUAUUGGCAUACUCCAGAACAUUACUAAUGUGCUCAUGAGGGUCUUCAUUGGGUAAUCCUCUAAACUGAUUCUGCAAGACGAGAGCAAUAAGCCCAGGCCUCAACUCAAAAUUUUCGGCCUCAAUAGAUGGCCAAAUUGGCCCUGUCAUCGUGUCCAAACUACUUGGCAACCAAAGAUCACGUACUAAACCCAUAUGUUCAAGUGCAAUUGUCAAUCAGCCUACAAAUAAUAAGAUAUCCUACACACGCUCACAAACAUCAAACAUUGGUGAGAGGGUUAGUAUCCUAAUAAGCCGAAGCAACAAAAAGUAAAAAGGUAAAAGAAACACAUAAAUAAAUUUGACUGGAAAUUUAAACAAAAACUAUACUAAGCCUAGUCUAUAGCUUCGCACAAUCGCUCGACGCAAGUCCCCGGCAACGGCGCCAAAAUGAUCAAUUGUAAGUACAGCGGGAUAUUUCACCCAAACUGCAAGUGUCGUGUUCCCCACAGGGACUAGGCAAAUCGAUGAUCGUGCUUGGCUAAAGCUAGGUGACAGAAUUUAGAUGAUGAUUGCAAGGAAAUAUAGGCCUAAACUAACCAAAGUUGACGACAAAGAAAAUGACAAAGUAGCAAUGGAAGGUUCAGAUUAUCUCAAUAUCUUUUUGGCAUUUUCAUUAAAAUUGAGAAAUAAAAUGCUAACACAAGUAAUCGUCAAACGGCUAGGGAAUUAAAAAGACCUGAUCAUAUAUAUAACUAUCUAACAUUUAGCAGGAAAAAUAAACAAGGUUGCAAGAUAGAACAUAAACGUAUUAUAUCACAGGCACACACAUAUGUAUAUAUUUCACACAUGCUUGAGUUAACACAGACUACAAAAUGAAACAAGUUCACAAGGUUGGAUACACAUAUAUGGUGACAGAUAGACCACAAAUACACAGCAAGAACACUUCAACUAGUGAGAACACACAAUCUGUGAUACAAUAUUUAUAAGAACGAAGCUGAGCAAUUGUCAGGUUGCAAGAUCUUAUCAAAUCUAAAUAUUACAGGAACUACACGUCUCCAAUUACAGAAAAUUCAGAGAAGAGAGAGGGAAAGAGAUAGCAGCGAGUAGCAGAGAGAAGGGGCAGCAAGCAGUGGGGGUUGAGAUACAGAGAAGAGAAUCAGCAAAGGGGUGUUAUCCUGAAGCAGAAGGAAGCAGCAGGGGACUUGGAGAAGAAGCAGCAGCGUGGGGAUGGAGAAGAAGAUGAGCAACAAGGCGAGGGAGGUGCGCUGGUUGGUGGCCCACCGGUGAUGCGGUGGCGCGGUGGAGCUGGUGGCGCGGUUGAUGGUGCAGCGGCAGUUGCUGAUGGCGUGGUAGCUGGAGGCGAUGAUGGUGUUGGAGGAAGGAGGUUGGCUGGGUGGCGCGCCGCCACGAUGGCCUGGCCGCGGCGGCGGCCGGAGGUGGAGAAGGAGGCGGGGAAGAGAUGAGAUGGAGAGAUGUGCCAGGCCCCCUGGGGAAUAGAAGCAUUCUAGGGAUUUUGUUCCCCUCGAUUAGAUCUGCCGCUUUGCUCUUUGGCCCUUAUACUUCUCUUCUUUCUUCACAAGAUGAUCCCUCCAACUUCUUUGGCAUACCCCUGGUUACUUCUUUUCUUCUCGCUCAGGUCCUUGAUGUAUUUCUUUCAUGCCCUUCUCCCUUCUCAUUAGCCAUAAAGUCAGAAUCUUGACGAUUAUAGUGCCUUUGCGCACUUUUCUACAAAUAAUCAAAUGGCGAGUAAAUGAUCUUUUAUAUGAUUU